ACAGUAUAAUAGCUUGGCACAUCAAUAAGGGUGUCUCCACCUCCUGCCGCUAGAUGCUAUAAACAUAAAGCAGGAGACUCAGGAGCACCUUAGGUGUUAAUGCCAGUGCAGUAAAGCUGAACCAGGUCGAUGGAGGGUGUAGCUGCAGAGACUGAGUACAGAGUUUCCAAGUCACUACAUGGAAAUGUAGCGUAACCAGAACAGAGUGUCGCUGGUGCCAGGCAAAGCCGACGGACACUGUUUGCUGUUUUUGUUUACAUGUUUCUAUGGUGAUGGGAGCACUGUAGCUGUACGCCUCCGUUGCCAGGGGCAGGUACGUCAGCGCUAGUCGCAUGUGAAUGACAUCAUCGCGCCACAGCACGGAGCGGGACGGCAAUGAGCGCACACGUCUGGUUCACUUUGAGAGCAGGAUGCCGAACACAGAAGACCUCUCUAUGCACUGCACCUUCUGAAUCAUUGGAAUCGCAGUCAGCACUUGUACUCCUAAGAUGUCACGGGGAAAGAUUACGCGGCUUCUGCCUCCUGGGUGACAGCAGCUGGUGCCAUAUAUGGGAAACAACUGUCUUGUCUCUGUUUCCAGCAGGGAGCAUGACACUGAAGACCAACACCUGGCACACUGUUGCACCAUUAUGGUAGAUAAGCAGAAGAGAGCCCCAGCAGCUAAAAAACGUAAAAGCAUUCUCUAGAACCAAGAGAGGAUGAAGGUUCAAGUAGAAUAAAUGGUGACGGACAGUUACAGUGUAAGAUUUUUACACUGGAUCUGUAGCAGCAAAGACGUGUCAGUUGCCAAUGGCAGCAUUAUUACUGGUGACUGAAAUGCAGCUGUCUUAGAAUGUCCAUAUGCACUUACCCUACCAGCAGCUACAAUUGUUAUUCUUGUACCUUGUGUAUUGAAUUUUCCCAAUGCUAAUUCUGUACUUUCGGUUUCAUGUCAUUAUAAGUUAUUUGCAUCAUAUGCCCUUAAUAGUAUAUAUCACUGUGUAAUAGAUAGCAAUAGAUAUUAAUACAUAAAUGAUAAUAAUACAUUUAAGCAUAUACUAAAUAGUAAAAUAAAAAUAUUUGUGAGUGGAACUUCUUAGCUUGGCCAUUCAUUUCCGACUGCAAAAGCUGCCCUCAUAGUAGUCUAUUGGUUACUAUUGUUAGCCCAUAGUAGCAUAUUGGUUACUCCAUUACAGAUAUUAUUGGGGAAGGAUCCUAAAUCCCUCUCUGUUGCGAUUGUGCAUUAGGUUGGCUGGGUAAUAGCAUAAGCUUUGCAAAGUCACACAAUAAAUAACUGCAUUCAGUUCCUGGAUUGGAAUAAAGUUGGGUAAUGUUGGCUUGCAACCAGAGUUUCGAUUUAUUCCAAAGGUGUCAGAUGGGGUUGAUGUCAGGGAUGUGUGCAGGCAUGUCAGGAUCUUGGUAACUAAACUACACAAAUAAUUAUUUCAGUUCCCUGCUUUGUGCUCAGUGACAUCAUCAUGUUGACACAGGACAGGGUAUUCCUCAAACUAUUACCACAAACUUGGAAGAACACAAUUAAAUCUAAUUGGUAAUAUUAUGCUGUAGACUUAAGAUUUCCCUUCAACAGAACUAAGGGCGUUGCCAAACAAUUAGUAUAACUCCAUUAUUCUUACUGCAACAAACCUUACAAUUGGCAGACUAAGUUUGGGCAGGAAGAGUUUUUUUGGCAUCCACCAAAACUAUAUUUAUCCAUCAGACUGUACUAAGAUGGUGAUGCGUGAUUCGUCACGACAGAGUAUGCAUUUCCACUGCUGCAACCAAGGACAGAUGAUAUUUACAGUAUGUGUUAUGCACUUCAGCAUUUGGCAGUAAUGUUCUGUAAAUGUGGUGCCUAGUGCACCGUGGAUGAGUAGUUGGUGCUCCUAGAUGUUCCCGGUACACAAUAAUAGCACUUACAAUUGGCUGGGGCGGCUCUAUAAGGGCAGAAAAUUGACAAACUGAUUUGUUGGACAGUCACAGACCUAUAGAACCAAUAGAACCAAUUCUACUGCUAGUGUUUGACCAUGAAAAUUGCAUGGCCAAUUACUUCCUUUAAUGCACCUGUUAGCAAUGGGUGUGGCUGACACUGGCAAACACCAAGUAGAAGGGUUGUCCACAUACACUGAUUACUUCAGCUCUUUCAGUUUUCUUUACAAAAAAAAUAAUAACAGGAAAGGCUAAAAUAUAAGCAAAAAUAAAAAUAUGAAUAAGUAUUACAGUAUUAUUAGUGAACGAGGGUGGUUCAAUAAGUAAGGUAACAAGACCUCUCACAUGUGUAAUGUUCUCUAUUUCAUUCUAAUUCCCCACCAGGCCAGAGCAGGUAGACCGCUGUUUCCUCUCACAACCAUUAGACUGCGCCUUAUAUCAGUCAUACUGUCCCAACAUCAAAAAACAAAAACAAAAUUGGGCGCUGAUGUUUAAAUUAAACGCUAGCCGCACAUUCCUGGGGCCUGGUUUGUAAGCCUCCAAUUAAUUUGAAACAAGAA